AGAACGAACGCUGGCGGCAGGCCUAAAACAUGCAAGUCGAACGCUCUAGCAAUAGAGAGUGGCGCACGGGUGCGUAACAUGUGGGAAUAUGCCUUUUGGUACGGAACAACUUUUGGAAACGAAAGCUAAUACCGUAUGGUCCCUUCGGGGUAAAGAUUUAUCGCCAAAAGAGUAGCCCGCACUGGAUUAGCUAGUUGGUAAGGUAAUGGCUUACCAAGGCGACGAUCCAUAGCUGGUCUGAGAGGACGAUCAGCCACACUGGGACUGAGACACGGCCCAGACUCCUACGGGAGGCAGCAGUUAGGAAUCUUGGACAAUGGGCGCAAGCCUGAUCCAGCCAUGCCGCGUGAGUGAUGAAGGCCUUCGGGUUGUAAAGCUCUUUAGUCCACGAAUAUAAUGACUGUAGUGGAAGAAUAGCCCGGCUAACUUCGCGCCAGCAGCCGC
rnacentral:rRNA from 1 species